AGAGUUUGAUCCUGGCUCAGAGCGAACGCUGGCGGCGUACCUAACACAUGCAAGUCGAACGGGGAUCACGGGGUUAGCAAUAACUCUGCGGUUCUAGUGGCGCACGGGUGAGUAACACGUGGGUAACCUGCCCUUGAGACUGGGAUACCCCCUCGAAAGGGGGGCUAAUACCGGAUACGUUCCUCGGAUCGAAAGGCCUGAGGAGGAAAGGUGGCGAAAGCUGCCGCUCUUGGAGGGGCUCGCAGCCUAUCAGCUAGUUGGCGGGGUAACGGCCCACCAAGGCUAUGACGGGUAGCUGGUCUGAGAGGACGACCAGCCACACGGGGACUGAGACACGGCCCCGACUCCUACGGGAGGCAGCAGUGGGGAAUUUUCCGCAAUGGGCGAAAGCCUGACGGAGUGACGCCGCGUGUGGGACGAAGGCCUUCGGGUCGUAAACCACUGUCAGUGGGAAAGAUGGGUGUCGGCACGAUAACCGCCGGCAUUUGACGGUACCUGCAGAGGAAGCCCCGGCUAACUCUGUGCCAGCAGCCGCGGUAAGACAGAGGGGGCAAGCGUUGCUCGGAAUUACUGGGCGUAAAGGGCGCGUAGGCGGGAUGGCAAGUCGGUCGUGAAAUCCCUCGGCUCAACUGAGGAUCGUCGAUCGAUACUGCCGUUCUUGAGGAUUGCAGAGGAGACUGGAAUUCCCGGUGUAGCGGUGAAAUGUGUAGAGAUCGGGAGGAACACCGGUGGCGAACGCGGGUCUCUGGGCAAUUCCUGACGCUGAGCGCGAAAGCGUGGGGAGCAAACGGGAUUAGAUACCCCGGUAGUCC
rnacentral:rRNA from 1 species